GAUGAAGAACGCAGCGAAAUGCGAUAAGUAAUGUGAAUUACAGAAUUCAGUGAAUCAUCGAGUCUUUGAACGCACAUUGCGCCCCCUGGUAUUCCGGGGGGCAUGCCUGUCCGAGCGUCAUUGCUGCCCUCAAGCACGGCUUGUGUGUUGGGCCUCCGUCCUCCUCCCGGGGGACGGGCCCGAAAGGCAGCGGCGGCACCGCGUCCGGUCCUCGAGCGUAUGGGGCUUCGUCACCCGCUCUUGUAGGCCCGGCCGGCGCUUGCCGACACAUCAAUCUUUUUUCCAGGUUGACCUCGGAUCAGGUAGGGAUACCCGCUGAACUUAAGCAUAUCAAUAAGCGGAGGA
rnacentral:misc_RNA from 1 species